AAGUCGUAACAAGGUUUCUGUAGGUGAACCUGCAGAAGAAUUAUUACUUUUCUGGCUAUUUAAUAGCUUGUCUGGGGGCUGUAGUUUCUGCAGUUUUUGACUACAUCUGUGUUUUUUGCGUACUAUAUGUUUCUUCGGCGGGCUUACUUGCUAGUUAGAUAAACUAAAACUUUUUGCAAUUGUAAUUAGUGUCUGAAUUAUAUAAUAAUUACAA
rnacentral:misc_RNA from 1 species